GACGAACGCUGGCGGCGUGCUUAACACAUGCAAGUCGAACGGAAAGGCCCUGCUUUUGUUGGGUGCUCGAGUGGCGCACGGGUGAGUAACACGUGAGUAACCUGCCCUUGACUUUGGGAUAACUUCAGGAAACUGGGGCUAAUACCGGAUAUGAGCUCCUGCUGCAUGGUGGGGGUUGGAAAGUUUCGGCGGUUGGGGAUGGACUCGCGGCUUAUCAGCUUGUUGGUGGGGUAGUGGCUUACCAAGGCUUUGACGGGUAGCCGGCCUGAGAGCGUGACCGGCCACAAUGGGACUGAGGUACGGCCCAGACGCCUACGGGAGGCAGCAGUGGGGAAUAUUGCACAAUGGGCGGAAGCCUGAUGCAGCAACGCCGCGUGCGGGAUGACGGCCUUCGGGGUGUAAACCGCUUUCGCCUGUGACGAAGCGUGAGUGACGGUAAUGGGUAAAGAAGCACCGGCUAACUACGUG
rnacentral:rRNA from 1 species